rnacentral:rRNA from 1 species
GAGCGAAGCGGGAAGAGCUCAAAUUUAUAAUCUGGCACCUUCGGUGUCCGAGUUGUAAUCUCUAGAAAUGUUUUCCGCGUUGGACCGCACACAAGUCUGUUGGAAUACAGCGGCAUAGUGGUGAGACCCCCGUAUAUGGUGCGGACGCCCAGCGCUUUGUGAUACAUUUUCGAAGAGUCGAGUUGUUUGGGAAUGCAGCUCAAAUUGGGUGGUAAAUUCCAUCUAAAGCUAAAUAUUGGCGAGAGACCGAUAGCGAACAAGUACCGUGAGGGAAAGAUGAAAAGCACUUUGGAAAGAGAGUUAACAGUACGUGAAAUUGUUGGAAGGGAAACGCUUGAAGUCAGACUUGCUUGCCGAGCAAUCGGUUUGCAGGCCAGCAUCAGUUUUCCGGGAUGGAUAAUGGUAGAGAGAAGGUAGCAGUUUCGGCUGUGUUAUAGCUCUCUGCUGGAUACAUCUUGGGGGACUGAGGAACGCAGUGUGCCUUUUGGCGGGGGUUUCGACCUCUUCAC